CAACACAAGGACUGACCAGCAGGAAGCUCCGUUUCUCGCUGCUGUUUUUACUGUUUUCGAAGAAAAACGAAAACACUGCAACAUGGGAGGCUCCAAGAUUUCACAAUUUCUGAAGGGAGCCGCAGACGGAGAAGUAAGGAACACAAGUGAACAGGUGAAGCUUCUUAAUUUUAAGAGGGCUUUGACAUCCACAAGUAAGAAGUAUGAGCAAUAUUAAAUAAGUAAACCUAGAAGCAAAUUAUGUUAAAAAAAUAUUUUCUGUAUAUUCUUCUUUCUCUUUUCUACAUUUCACCUGCUCUAGCUUGGUUCCUUGUAAUAAACCUGGCUGGCAUUGUAUACUAAAUAUUGUUGUCUCUGUGACAAAUUGCUUGUUAUAUUCCUACAUUCUUCCAUGUUGAUGGCCUGCACCCCAGACUUAGAGCGGACCUCCUGUCGGACAACAUCUCCUAGGCACAAUGAACCAUAUGGCUAAUGCUCACAAAGGCUCAAUUUAUUAAAAAAAAUGCUGAUUUAAAAAAAACAGUAAAAACAGUAAUACUGUGAAAUAUUAUUACAAAUUAAAAUAGCUGUUUUCUGUGUGAAUAUAUUGUAAAAUGUAAUUUUUUCCUGUGAUCAAAGCUGAAUUUUCAGCAUCAUUACUCCAGUCUUCGGUGUCACAUGAUCCUUCAGAAAUUAUUCUAAUAUACUGAUUUGCUCCUCAAGACACAUUUCUGAUUAUUAUCAAUGUUGAAAACAGUUGUGCUGCACAAUAUUUUUGUGCGUGUUUUUUUUUCUUCAGGAUUCUUUGAUGAAUAGAAAUUUCAAAAGAACAGCAUUAGUUGAAACAAAACUUUACACUCGUUUUUGAUCAAUUUAAUGCAUCCUUGCGGAAUAAAACUAGAAUUUCCUAAUAAAAAAUUUAUGUAACGUGACAGAAAAAAAAACACGGUAACACCAGUGACAUACAUUAGACCAAAGAUCCUUAUUCUUCAGCUAUAAUUAAUAGAUGAGACUAAAUUGUUACAUUCGGCAUACAUUUGGCAUUUAGUGAAAGCAGUUAGUAAAAGAACAUAAAUGUAAACUGAUCUUCACUGGUGUUACCCAUAAGGAAGGUAACACCAGUGACAGUAACACCAGUGACAGAUUUCAUGAAAAAUGCAUUUUACAAAAUGUCUGCUGCAAGAUAUCAAACCACUUGUUGUCAAUCAUAGUAUACUCACUCACUAAAUUAAGUAGUUUAAUCCAUUUGUAUUCUAUUUUUUUUACAUUUCCCUAACAAUAAAGUAGGUCACACCAGUGACUUCAACUAAAAGCCUCAUAUGAAAUCAUGAGAAAAAAUGAGAAAAUUUCUGAUAACUGAAAAGAUACAGUGCAUUAAACAUCAUAGGCCUUUCUUCAAAGAUCUUCAGGAAAUGGGAAGAAGGAAGUCAAGUGAUGUCAUCAGUGUGAUUUUUAUUUCAAAAUAAAUGUUUUUUGUUAAACGGUAACACCAGUGACACAACUCCAAAUUACAUUUUAACAUAUUCACACAGAAAACAUCUCAUAACCUUGCACUUCAGUUAUAUGUGAUGAAAUAAAUAAUCUUUUGUCUGAAAUAAUAUGAACAGCAGCUAUUCUAAUCUUUCUCCUUUUGGUUUCCUGUUUAUAUCUCGGGAUGUCCAUCCCAAGGUUACUAGAGAUUACACCAGUUCCAGUUUGGAUCCAGCCUGGCGUGUGAAGACUUCAGAAGACGCUAGCACUCACAAAGACUUCAGAUGAUGGCAACUAGAUAAACAUACAAAGCUGCCAAAUAAUCCUUAUAUUGUAAUCAUUGCCCUAAAAGGGAGGAACUUGUCAACAAAUCUACCUCACAGCGCAUCAAUGAAAGCAGUUUGACAAUUACAGACGGGUGUGUUGGAUCAGGGUUAGAUCUGAAUUCUGCAGGUUUUCUGGAUUCCCAGUUGAAGACAUCAGUACAUCAGAUGUUGGCCUGGACAGCUGUAUCUACAGUACACCACACUGACCUCUCUGCUUUUGCAUAGAUGGCUGACUACUACCAUGUUCUAUAGUAUUAUUGGUAUUAUGUUCUAAGGUAUUAUUAUAGUAAAACUGAGCACCUGUGACAGUGGAAUUUGUAGUUGUAAAGAAUAGACACAUGCGUAUUACAGGUAGUAAAUUUAAAGUCACAGAGAAAAGGGUUUUUGUUUUUUUAGGAGUUCCAAAUGUUUUUUCUUACUCUUUCUCUUUAACAAACACAACACAACAGUUACAUCAUUUAAAAUGCUGAGGUGCACAAAUCAUAUUCUACAAAUAACAAAUUAAGAAACUCAUGUGAAUGAACAAAUUCAUAUCAUGAACUAAUUUUGCACAUUUGCAUAUAUACAGUCAUAGUCAGAAUUAUUGACACCCUUGGUAAAUAUGAACAAAGAAGCCUGUGAAAAAUAAAUCUGCAUUGUCAAUCCUUUUUGAUAAAAGAUCAAAAAGGGGGUGGGGGGAAGCUCAUUAGGAGUAUUUUUUCUCUCUAAUACACAUUGGCCACAGUUAAUGGCACCCUUUUAUUCAGUACUUUUUGCAAUCUCCUUUUGCCACAAUAACAGCUCUGAGUCUCUCCUAUAAUGCUUGGUGAGUUUGGAGCUCACCUGACAAGAGAUCUUUGGAGUCGUUGGCCACUCAAACUAUCCUCCUCACCUUGUAUAUAGACAAUAUAGACACACAUCCUCUUCCAGGCAGAUCUGUGACAUUUUAAACAGUACAAAUUUAUUUUUACAGGCUUCUUUGAUCAUAUUUACUAAGGGUGCCAAUAAUUCUGACCACGACUGUAAGAAUGAGAACUUAUAUGUGAGAUUUCACAUGACAUAUCAGAAUGUGAGAUCCCACUUGCACGCUUGAUUAGAAUUUGAAAUUCGAUCAAACUGAAUAGAAUAGAAUUGAACUGAAUACAAUUGGUAAGUGAUACCAUUAAUUGGUCAGGUGUUGAUAAAAAAAGAUGUGUCUUUAGACAUUUUUUGAAAAUGGCUAAAGACUCAAAGCUAAAGCUGCUUGAAUUGAGAUAAGGAGGUCAUUCCAACAUGAACUUAUCUACAAAUACCACAGUUAAAUUCUGGAAAAAUUAAAUAGAUCCCCGCAUUUGUGAUUUGAAGAAUAGGAUUUAUGCACCUGCAAUGAAGAUUUUGAGAAGGUUAUGUUGGUUUGUGAGAGAGAAAGAAACAAAAUAUAAUUUUGCAACUCCUAAAACAUUUACUUGAUGACUGUACUGAAAUAUUCUCUACAAAUACACAUUCCAUACUGUAGGUGCUCAGUUUUUCUACAAUAAUUCUAGACACAAUAGAUGUACUGUAUGCAAAUAUAAAAAAAGGACAUAACUGAAUAUUCAGGGAAAAUAAAAGAAUUCUUGAUAAUCUUUAAAAUGAGAGAAUCACUGACACAUUAGGCUUCUUUCUUCGACUGCAGAAAAAACGAAACUAUUAAAAUGUGCUAAGUGCCCUUGAAAGGUAUCAUUACGCCGUUUGGAACCGUAAGGCCAGUUUAUGAAUUGGAGGUAAAGAUAAUUUGCAACACAACUUAAUAUAGACUUUUAAACUAGUCAUCACCAGUAGGCUACUAUGCAAUCUCUUGACAUUGAACAGUUAUAAAAUGAUUUAGGACAACACUGUGUGAAGACCAAACUUUAGUCGUAGCAAGGUAAUUGCGACUUAGUGGCAGCGUAAAUAAGUUAACCAUAAUACGUGACUGCAACGUAAUUUGACGACCAAACUUUCGUUGUGACAACGUAACUAGUUACGUUGUGACAACCGGAAAAGUGAAAUUCCUGGAUACGUUGCUACAACAUAACUUUGUGACGUUGUCAGUUAGUAAUGAGGACGUUCUGACAACGUUGAGGAUCACUGGUUAUCUUACGUGGCACAUUUUCAGUAGAUUCUUAUGCCUUCGUUUCUCUUUUUUUUAAAGACUAGCCUUGUAACACUUAACUCUUAUUUAAAAGUUAAAAUGAAAACGACUAACCUGUUCUUUUGUUGUUUCUUUAGGAUCGCUGCCAGUAGACCUACCUGUAGAAAUAGAGUUCUAUGUUCUGUUCCAUUUCUAUUAAUAUAAUAAUGUGUACUGUUUUCAAAAACAAAAUAAAAGAGCUGGAUUUGCCUAA